UACGUAGGGGGCAAGCGUUAUCCGGAUUUACUGGGUGUAAAGGGAGCGUAGACGGCAGGGCAAGUCUGAAGUGAAAGCCCGCGGCCCAACUGCGGGACUGCUUUGGAAACUGCCCGGCUAGAGUGCUGGAGAGGUAAGCGGAAUUCCUAGUGUAGCGGUGAAAUGCGUAGAUAUUAGGAGGAACACCAGUGGCGAAGGCGGCUUACUGGACAGUAACUGACGUUGAGGCUCGAAAGCGUGGGGAGCAAACAGG
rnacentral:rRNA from 1 species